UACGGGGGGGGCGAAGCGUUGUUCGGAAUUACUGGGCGUAAAGGGCUCGUAGGUGGCCAACUAAGUCAGACGUGAAAUCCCUCGGCUUAACCGGGGAACUGCGUCUGAUACUGGAUGGCUUGAGUUUGGGAGAGGGAUGCGGAAUUCCAGGUGUAGCGGUGAAAAUGCGUAGAUAUCUGGAGGAACACCGGUGGCGAAGGCGGCAUCCUGGACCAACACUGACACUGAGGAGCGAAAGCCAGGGGAGCAAACGGG
rnacentral:rRNA from 1 species